GCGUACCUUUUGUAUAAUGGGUCAGCGACUUACGUUCAGUAGCAAGCUUAACCGAAUAGGGCAGGCGUAGCGAAAGCGAGUCCGAAUAGGGCGUUCAGUUGCUGGGCGUAGACCCGAAACCAGGUGAUCUAUCCAUGGCCAGGAUGAAGGUGCGGUAACACGUACUGGAGGUCCGAACCCACUAACGUUGAAAAGUUAGGGGAUGAGCUGUGGAUAGGGGUGAAAGGCUAAACAAACCUGGAAAUAGCUGGUUCUCUCCGAAAACUAUUUAGGUAGUGCCUCGUGUCUCACCUUCGGGGGUAGAGCACUGUCAUGGUUGGGGGGUCUAUUGCAGAUUACCCCGCCAUAGCAAACUCCGAAUACCGAAGAGUGCAAUCACGGGAGACAGACAUCGGGUGCUAACGUCCGGUGUCAAGAGGGAAACAACCCAGACCGCCAGCUAAGGUCCCCAAAUAUGGCUAAGUGGGAAACGAAGUGGGAAGGCUAAAACAGUCAGGAGGUUGGCUUAGAAGCAGCCACCCUUUAAAGAAAGCGUAAUAGCUCACUGAUCGAGUCGUCCUGCGCGGAAGAUGUAACGGGGCUAAGCCAUAUACCGAAGCUGCGGAUGCGAGCUAGUCUCGCAUGGUAGGAGAGCGUUCCGUAAGCCUGCGAAGGUGCGUUGAAAAGCGUGCUGGAGGUAUCGGAAGUGCGAAUGCUGACAUGAGUAGCGAUAAAGGGGGUGAAAGGCCCCCUCGCCGUAAGCCCAAGGUUUCCUACGCAACGUUCAUCGGCGUAGGGUGAGUCGGCCCCUAAGGCGAGGCAGAAAUGCGUAGCUGAUGGGAAGCAGGUCAAUAUUCCUGCACCGUCGUUAGAUGCGAUGGGGGGACGGAUCGCGGAAGGUUGUCCGGGUGUUGGAAGUCCCGGUCGCUGCAUUGGAGAAGGCGCUUAGGCAAAUCCGGGCGCAGGAUUCAAGGGUGUGGCGCGAGCUCCUUCGGGAGCGAAGCAAUUGGAAGUGGUUCCAAGAAAAGCCUCUAAGCU
rnacentral:rRNA from 1 species